UGGAUAGAAAAACAAGACAGGCAAACAUUAUUUUCCACAUUUUCACGAACCUAUCUCACUCCCUACCAAGUUUUUUUUAACCCUCAGUUCCACUCACCUCACAGAUUCACAGAUAAAAACACAAGACAUUUAAUAUAAACAAUCCACUAACAUGUUUCAGUACCGUCUCACUAUCUUCUAUCUUGUAAUGACUGAUAAGGACAUGAGAACCUAAGAAAUUGCUGGUUGAUGCAAGAAGCUAUCAGGCCUACACACGGCAGCCCCUGUAUCAAAACAUACGACCACCUUAGUCCUCACCCAUUAAUUUAUGUCAUCUUUUAAGGCUCUCUAAUGACUCACCACUAACAAUCUGAUUACUAAGUCCAUUUCAAACAUCUAUCACUUUAUUUGAGAACUAGUUCCUUCCUGUCUCUUGUUGAAAUCUAAUUUUAUUAACCUUGAAUUUAUUAUUUUUUGUCCUAUCCUGAUUACUGACCCUGAGAAUUUUGCUUAUGUCAACCUUAUUAUAUUCCCUAUACAACUUUAAGACCCCCAUUAGAUCCCCUCUUAAUCUUCUCGUCCUAUCCUGAUUACUGACCACGAGAAUUUUGCAUAUGUCACCGUUAUUAUGCACCCUAUACCACUUCAAGACCUCCAUCAGAUCCCCUCUUAACUUACGCCAAUUCAAAAAGUACUAAUCCUGGUGUUGCUUGUACAGGAACAUUGAGGGUGAAGUCCACGCCUCUGUCACCUGGCUUCGUGCUCUCCGUCAUCAAGAUCUCCAACGCGACGGUGAGUGACUUCGCGAUGUACCACUGCCGUGCUGCCAACAGUCUGGGUGUGUCCCGCUCCUAUCUGAUGCCUUCACGAUGGCUCCGGCGCAAUGAGUCCUGAAUACUUAGAGGAACCAGAGGACCCGGUCAUCUACAGCACACCAGUUGAGAAUCCGCGCCUGGCUUCAUUUUUGCUGGGGAUGGUGCCGCCUCUAUACAUCGCCCUGUACAUCAUUGCCUACCUGGGAUGCUACAAGAGUCCCAGCACAGGAGGGCACGGCAGAUUCGGCGGCAACGUGGAUAUGGACACGGAGUAAAUGGGGGAGAUAGUUAAAGGAUUCCAAUGUGAUGAAGGUUAAAGGAUCUCUCUCUCUCUCUUCUCUCUCUCUCCUCUCUCUCUCUCUCUCUCUCUCUCUCUCUCUCUGUGUUUAGAUUGAAGGAUUUUGUUUUUUUGUGUCUGAGAUGCGAUUUUUAAUGGUGUGUGUGUGUGUGUGUAUGUGUGUGUGUGUGUGUGUCAUAUGGUGUGCCGGGCGAAUCCAGACACACACACACACACACACACACACACAUACAACAAGGUGCCAUUGAAGCGAAGGUAAGGAGGAGAGGGAGGAGGAAUAGUAAAGAUAGGAGAAGAGAGAGGAAGAGGAGAAGGAUGAGAAGCAGAGAGAGAGAGAGAGAGAGAGAGAGAGAGAGAGAGAGAGAAGGUGGAGGCGGUACCAGUAUAAAGAAGGUUGGCAGGUUUAAAUCCACGUUAUCAGUGAGGGAAGACAUUGUUGGUGGAAGCCUCGCCUGAUAGCACAUGACUUGCCCUAAUCCUUCUUCUCUUUCAUUCGCCGCGAGCCUUACAAGAAACUCGGCAAACUCGCGUAAACAAACCAAUCUUUCCUGCCGGAUUUAUAAAGGAAAGACAAGAAAGGAUUGAGUUUUGUUUAUGUUUGAUGUAUGGUACUGUAUCGAUGUCUUAGAGGCGUUUAUUGAUGGUUACAUUGAACGAAAACCAAUCUUUCCUGCCGGAUUUAUAAAGGAAAGACAAGAAAGGAUUGAGUUUUGUUUAUGUUUGAUGUAUGGUACUGUAUCAAUGUCUUAGAGGCGUUUAUUGAUAAUUAUAUAAUAAGAAUAAAGAACAGUAAAA